rnacentral:lncRNA from 1 species
CUUUAAAUGUGAAAUUAUUCCUUGAUCCAUGGGGUACAGAAUCAGAAUGGAUGUUGUAUUAGAAGACAUGAAAACAUUAAUCUCCUCUUACAUCUUUUUUUUGGCGGGGGGAUGUGGUGCUUGAAUGGAUCCUGGAGUCGGCCAUUGCUCAAGCACACCACCAAACAGUGCCCUUGCAAAGCAGGCCUCAUCCCUGUCCACCGGGCCCAGCACCUCCCGGGUCUACCUCAUCUCAGACAACCCUGCUACUCUGAAUCCUGAUUUGAAAUCUUGGUGAAGGUGUUUAGACCCCACCUGAGGAGCUGUACAUAACAAAAGCCCUCAAUGCCACUAAACCAAUGGGAGAGGGGUAAGAGUACAAAGAAUUUAAAACCACAAUAGACUCAUAUUAUUCUAUUACCAGUAGAUAGAAAUCAAAUACGUUUUAUCAAUUUGAAGAACGUUUUCCACGUCAUCCAGUCACCCAGGCCACAAGAUCCUCAGUGACGACAGAUAAUUAUGAAAUUAGUUGUAUUAUUGAUACUGCUUUUUCCUGGGUAUUGGCUUCCCAGAGUUACUGAGAGAAUGAUGGAAUAAAGCAUCGACUUUGUCAUAUAGAGCCAUGUAUUACAAGUAAAACUUGCUGUUUCAAAAUCUUUUCCUUCUCUUUCAAAAAAACUAUCAUUUUCUUCUCUCUGAGCAGUUUUUGAUAGAGUUCAUCAUUAGCAGGGGCCUCAAAACAGAACAUUGCAAAUCAUGUCAGUUUCAGAAUGAUUUUUUUUUUUUGGCUUGCUGAUGGCAAACUGCAAUGUGAAUUUCUGCAAGAGCACAGUGCCAUGUCAUAAAUCAUUAGUCUGGCUUCAGAGUCUCUUGCUAUUUUCCCUACAUGGAGGACAGAUGCUUUUUUGUUGAAUCAGGACCAUAAUUUGCAUCUGGUAGGACAAUGGAUCAUAUUCUCUUCUGUCCACACACAGAGCCGCAUUGACAACAGCAAGAGUUGCUCAGAGAUAGAGGCAAAGUUUGGCUCAGCCAGUGCUAAAUUCAGCUUGAUUUUUAAAAGUAAAUGACCCAGUUAAAAUCCAGUGAAGAGCAAAGCACAUAGUGGAUUUGGAAGUUUCCUUUGAAAUUUCCAGCUCAGUGUAUGAAGUAACUCCAGACUCUAAUGAGCCUCUCCGACUGCAAGCAACUAAGACCCAAAAUGAUUGUCUGUAUCAGAUCCAGGGCUUUCUGUGACAGCAGACAAUUUAUUGUUAUGCUUUACACCCUGGUUUUCCAUCUGUGAUUGAUGUGUGCUCUUCCGCUUUCAAAAGACUUUUCUAAUAGUCACGUUUCUUCCAACUGACCCUGCAAGAUGAGUCAAAAUUUCCAUACUUAGGAAUCCCAGCUACUUAGGAAGCUGAGGCAGAAGAAUCUCUGUAACCUGAAAGGCGGAGGUUGCAGUGAGCUGCGAUCACACCACUGCACACCAGCCUGGGCGACAGAGCGAGACUCCGUCUCAAAAAUAAAUAAAUAAAUAAAUAAGGAGAUGGUUAUACAAUUGCAUUCUUCUCAACUUAAAAGCCUCUCUCUGAGCUGGAUGCGGCCAUUCACGCCUGUAAUCCCAGCACUUUGGGAGGCUGAGGCGGGUGGAUUGCCUGAGGUCAGGAGUUCGAGACCAGCCUGCCCAACAUAGUGAAACCCCAUCUCUACUAGAAAUACAAAAAAUUAUCUGGGCAUGGUGGCACGCAACUGUAAUCCCAG